rnacentral:rRNA from 1 species
UACGUAGGGGGCAAGCGUUGUCCGGAAUUAUUGGGCGUAAAGAGCUCGUAGGCGGCUUGUCGCGUCGACUGUGAAAACCCGGGGCUUAACUUCGGGCUUGCAGUCGAUACGGGCAGGCUGGAGUUCGGUAGGGGAGACUGGAAUUCCUGGUGUAGCGGUGAAAUGCGCAGAUAUCAGGAGGAACACCGGUGGCGAAGGCGGGUCUCUGGGUAGUAACUGACGCUGAGGAACGAAAGCGUGGGUAGCGAACAGG